AAAAUGGCAAGAUUUUUUUAAACUGAUAUAAUAACUAUCACCAAUACACAUAAAUAUUAUGAUAAAAUAAAAAUUCCUUGGAAGAGCCUAUUCGUUACUUGUUAUGGUUCUCAUAACUUGGCUUGAUACAUUCGUAGUAUGAAUUUACAGUCCUAGAUAAACAACUUCAAGAAUUCGAGUCCUUCAGGUAACUACGUAAUGCAGCCUGUUUCUUACUCUUUGGACAAUAAAUAAGGUUUAUGAAGAGACGAAGACCAUCGUUCUAUUGCAAUUUCAGAUUGCUCCAAUUGUACUGGUAUUUACAACUUUCCUCGAACUCUCCAAAGACUGGACUUUUGACUACCUCCUCGAAUCCUCUCAGUGGUUAAUCGCGCAUCAUCCAACUAUCUCUUCUUCUGGCAUACCCUGGAUCAUAACGAAGUGGAAAUCACUGCUCUUGCCUAGUAUUAUGCAAUUGCUUGUCUGUCAAUCCAAGAGGCUUGCUGAAUAUGAAUAAUCAAUCAUAUCUAAUGAUAUUAUAAUUGAAAACGAGGAAUGAAGUGAUUAGCACUUCUUCCAACGGAACCGCUGUCGUGUUUGUUUAUUUUUCUUUUAUUUUAAUAUAUACAUAUAUUGGUGAUAGUUAUUAUGUCAGUUUAAAAGAAUCUUGCCAUUUUUUCCACUGACAUUUUUUCCUGACACCAUUUUUAAUAUAGUGUCAUCUACGUUUGUAACGUACAUAGUAGUGUUGCUUUCGGUCUGAAAAUCCUAGAAAGGUCCGAGACUGUUACGAUUUUUGUGUACUGAACUAGUUGGGUCCUUUAAAGAAGUUCUGGACUGGUCUCAAAGAAAAAUUCAGUGAAGAUACGUCUGGAUCGUAAACAUUUAAAAUUCGGUAUAGACCGAUUCUAUACAAGAAAUAUUGAUACGUCAGUUGUGUUUCAAAAUUGUGAACAUCGAUAUACAAUGACGUCAUAUGAAGUUAAAUGUGUGGUGCAUCAAUCUGGGACUAUAGAAUCCAAUAAUAUCUAAACAAGAGAGAAUGAGAAAUGUCACGAAACCUUCUACAAAUAAAAUACAUCAUGAGGAAAGGAGGAAAAUAUAAAAUGAUUUAACUCUUAAGCACUUUUUUCUGAAAACAGUUUCGGUUGAUAAACAUUAGUCAUCAAAUUAAUUACUUCUAAUAGAAUGAGGAUGGUUUGGAUGGAUCUUUUUCACGGAGUAUCAGAAUAUAUGGAUCUGAGUCCACUCAUAGUUUCAUUGAAUUCAUAUAUGUUUAUGACAUUGGGAUAUCCAUCACGUUCAGGGGUUUCCUUUCUUUAGAAUAGGUUCUUGCCCCUUACUUGAUGGAUAUCAUCUCAAGUAAUGGAAUUAUCGGUCAUUCUGCAAAUGUCCUUUAACGUCAAAAUCUUCUACUUCGUUAUACAUUGGUUCAAAUAUACAUCCGUCCCUGGCUUUAUAUCUUGUAUGGAAUCGUUGUAUACUUCUAUAAUAAUUGAGGACAUGUUUAACCAAUAGGAUUAAUACUGAAUUAAAAUUUACUUAGAGGAAAAAAGAGACUUUUCAUCCGCGGCUCUUCCAUUAAAACUACUUUCUCCGUCUCUUCUCUAUUUCGUCUCCUAAUAUUCUUGGAAAACUCUUUUAUUGAUUUGAGUCCUUAUGUGUCAUUGAUACACUUCAUCAUCGCUUCCGAUUCCAUUAUUACUUGUGAGUCUCUUCCGUCAUUGGAAAAAAGUUGAAGACGAUCAUGGACCAUGAAUUUAAUGUAUGUACAUUCUGUCAAAAUGGAUAAAUUGUUCAUUGGAACUCUUACAUGAUAAAUAUGUUAAUAAAUUAUCGGUGAUCUUAUAACUUUAGUACAUCUAUAUUGGAAAAUAUUAAUUUUGUUUAAUAUAUUUUAAAAGUUGGUGAGUCGAAAGUCAUUUUCUGAAUAACUUAAUCACUUGUCAUUAUAUUUAAAUAUCAUUCGAUCGUGAAGAUUUAGGAUCUUCACAUCUAUAUUCAAUAAAUAAAUUACGGAUUACACCAAAUCCUUACGAUGUAACAAAACUGUA
rnacentral:lncRNA from 1 species